rnacentral:rRNA from 1 species
AUUGAACGCUGGCGGCAGGCCUAACACAUGCAAGUCGAGCGGAGCGGCGGACGGGUGAGUAAUGCCUAGGAAUCUGCCUGGUAGUGGGGGAUAACUUCCGGACACGGUCGCUAAUACCGCAUACUAUCAGAUGAGCCUAGGUCGGAUUAGCUAGUGGGUGGGGUAACGGCCUACCAAGGCGACGAUCCGUAACUGGUCUGAGAGGAUGACCAGUCACACUGGAACUGAGACACGGUCCAGACUCCUACGGGAGGCAGCAGGGGGGAAUAUUGGACAAUGGGCGCAAGCCGGAUGCAGCCAUUCCGCGUGUGUGAAGAAGGCCUUCGGAUUGUAAAGCACUUUAAGCGGGGAGGCGUUACCAACAGAAUAAGCACCGGCUAACUCCGUGCCAGCAGCCGCGGUAAUUC